GACUUUCCCUUUGGUGCUGUCUUACUGCUGGCACUCCCCACCCCUCACUGGGCAGACGUGCUUGUGGUAGCAGGUUAAUAAAAUAGUUGAGCAGCAUUUAGUUUCCACUGCACAGCCAGCCUAGAUGGCAUCUGUGGGCAGCGCUUUUGUGUGAAGGAAGCACAGUUAAAGUCUAGAAUCUAAGGAAAGAAGAGCAUAUAUCAUAUUUAAAGGAGAUUUUGAGCUUACGGUAAGAAGGAGAAUUAUAUUUUAUAUCAUAACUUUAAUAGCUGAGGAGCUGUAUCUCAAAGUGCUUUACGAAGGGAUGAGGCAGAUAGUGAUAGUUCAAGCAACGUGUAGGAAAACGUGCCAGCCAUAUGUGUAGCUGUAUCUCACACGCAGUCUUGGAAAUAAUUUAUUUUUAUUGAAGGGAUGAAUUUGCCAGAACAUCAAAGCUGUCUUCUGCACUUUGGAAGAAGUGCCACGUUGUCUUUAAUCUAAAAGGCUGGUGACAGGAGGGUCUGCCUCACCAGCUAUCUCCUUCUCUUCCCAAACUCGUCCUGCGUGUUGGUGAAUGGAGGCCAGGCUCAACAUCAGCACACGUGUGAAUGAAGAUUCACUUUUUUCCUGUCAGGCUUCUUUUCUUCUGUCCAUCCUUCCUGCUGCCGAGCCUCACACACUUCAAGGCCAGGCUGGAUGGGGCUGUGAGCUACCUGGGCUAGAGGGAGGGUGUUCCUGCCUGUAGCAGAGGGUUGGAAUCAGGUGAUCUUAAAGGUCCCUUCCAACCCAUAUGAUUGGAAUGAUUCUAUGAUUUUAUGGAACUCACGUAUUUGUUUUCUUCCUCAAUCUUGGCUGCUUUUCCCCUGUCCCUUGCGAUGUGUUCUUUCCUUAGGCUUAAUGCAAACACCUGGCCAGGACGGAAGUUUGAUCCUGCAAGAGCCAAGCAAUGCAGCAGCUUCAUCUCAUUGGGCAGAAGAUAAGCACUGCACAUGCAGAUCUUCCAGAUGUCCCAGGACUUGUCCCAGGAAUCUUCAUACGCCCUCUGAAAGCCAGUUGUAAUGGAAAGGCUGCUUCAUGUGAUGCAUCGAACACGUUUCAUUUUGUGGCCCUCAAAUUGAGCAAAAAGGGCUGUCAGAGCAAGGCUGCAGGAUUCAGGCUCUGACCUUCACACCCUGCUUUCUCCUGUUCUCGCUGGUACUGUGUGCUGAGGGGAGGCUCCUGCAGCACCUGCCCUGGGAUAAGGCAUCACGGUUUGUUCCUGUCCCUGCCUUCAAGGUCUGUGCCAUUCCACACGGCUGUUUCUCUAGGAGAAAGCGUGUGUUCAGCAGUGUGAACCGUCUCCACAGAGCUGCAGCCUGGCUGAGUAACACAAUCCUUCACCUCUCCCCUUGGAGAACAGAAGGGACAGAAAUGUACUGACUACAACUAGGGGCAUCCCAUCCUGGUUUUGCUGCUGUCACGAGCCCCUCUUGUUCUGUCGGAAGGGUUUUGUGUGCAGAGAGAUGUAGCAGAUAGGCUGUGUUUGCCUGGGCCAUGAAGAGUAACAACCCUUUACAAGCAAAGAUGCGCUCUUUAGCCUGCCAGGCAGUGUGCUUGGGAGCUCCACUGCUUCCUCAGGAUGUCCACAAAACGUCAUCCAACAAGAUGGCACCUACCAGCUGCUCUCACCUGGGUGGGCAAUGUGAGCCACUGUGUGCUCUGCCGGCCCUGUGCACAGUGAGGGGCGCUGGUGGUGUGAAUGGGAGAAACCAUAAAGGCAGUUAGAGUGGGAAGGGAGAGGAAUUGCACCAUCCGUUAUCCAACUUGAGCAAAGUGACGUGAAGAAGGAUAUUAUUUUAGAAAGUUUAUCUCUUUAGUAUCUAUGGUGACAAGAUGCUUAUCGGAGUAAGACAGACUCACAGGCUGUCUGCUCCUUGUUAUCUCAGUGUAGGAUGACAGUAUAAGUAUCACGUCUAGAAAUGUUAUCUAUCCUUUAUUAUUUCACUUGUGAGGGUCUAACAGGAGUGUUAUCAGGGUGUUUACAAUCAAAACACGUGCGGCUCAAGUGAUAAAAAGGAGAACAGACAUCUGAUCUCCAAGGAUAUGAAGACAAUACAGCCUUGAGCAGGAGGAGAUGGAUCUUAUUGGAAAUGGUUUGUCGGGCUGGGAAUGGACAAGCAAGCCCGCGUGAUUGCUCACAUCAUAAGCUUGAGAGAUGGGAUGGGGGAGAAGCACGCGUACGAGCGCACGCGGUCUCACAGAAAAUGAAAAGGCGAUUGUAUCAACAGCACUCUCAGCUGAAAGAGAAAUAUUUUCCAAUAAUUUCGUUACGAUUUGAUGUAUUCUGUGCUCUCCUCUCCCUUAGAGCGGUAAUGUGGCGAGCUGGCAGGACCAACAAGUGCCGUAGAGUUGCUUGGAGUGAGUCAGAAGCUGAGAAAGCUUACCCAGGCUCGGAGGGUGGAGAGCAGACAGCUGGUAAGAUUGCUUAUCAGGGGCUUCCUUUAGAUUAGCACAACGCUGGCCCAAGCUUCUGCAAGGUAAGGAAUCAAUUUCGGGGUUAGUGGUGACUAUAAACCUUAUCCUAGAUCUCCUUAGGGCCAGGGAGGCUAAAUUCCUCACGGACGGAGGUGUACAAAGAUCUCCCAGACAUCAGAUCUCAUUCGUUUACAGCGUGAGCAAGCCAGGUGCUCAGUGGUGUCAAAUGCUGAUUUUCUUACUUGGCAUGAAUGAUCCUCAGCUGUUAAAGAUAGGGCUGGAUUGUGCAAUGCUCUGUUCAAACCCAGGUCUUACUCCUGGAGGUGGCUGUGUUCUUGGAUAGAUAGACUUCAUUGGAUGUUUUCUUCUUCUGUUGCAGUUAGACUCCAUUCUCCUAAGGUACAACAGUUCCCUUAAGCCAAGCAGAGUGCUUUUAUCCCACAAGAUAACAUGGAGUGAGGAGUGUGUCUUCUGGGGGUCAUAGAUGGGGGGCCAGGCAUGGUGAGGUGCAAUGGGUGGGCACAUUGUGGCCUCCUGGUGACAAACCCACCUCUGAGCAUCUCUUCCUGACUGUAUAGCUGGCUUCCAACUGGAGGUAGGCAGCUUCUUUGGGUAGGGGGUAGGGAAGGAACACAAGCAUCUCCCCCUCAGCACAGUUCUGCAUUAGCCUGCCUGCUCAGCUCCAUAUUCAUCUUGAGCUGGGUAUCACACAAAGAGAACUGCUUUCAACCUGUCUCAAUGACUCUCCCAUCACUCUCUAAUGGCUGUCAACUGCAGGUAACCCUUCUUCACCUGUGGAAACUGGCAGCAACACCUCGGGCUCGUUUAUGAGAAAUUAUCUCUGGUUGUGAUACACGGUGCAUUUUUUUUUUUUCAUUUGAACCCCUAGCUUGGCAGGGCCAGUGGGGCUGUUUUGUAUGGUAAUAUAUGACCCAUCACUCCUCUCCUGCCCUUCGUCUCUCACACCUUUAAUUGCACUUGUGUUUCUGAAGCAUAUGGAAUUCAUUAUUCAGCAAGCAAGGUCCUUUGCAAUAUCAGCCUUAAUUAACUGUUCCCCUCUGCAUUUUCUUGCUCUUAUCCUCUCCAAAUCUACACACCAAGACAGGCUGAUGGCCCCCCACAUGCAUCAGUGCCAGCCAGUGAGCCGUGACCAGAUAAGAAGAAAUGGAAUUCCUUAUCUUUUUUUUUUUUUCCUUCUUCUUUCUUAAAAUACAUGUACACACAAACCUGGAAAAGGUCAAGGUUACUGGGAAGGGAGAAGGCACUUCAAGACAACAAAACCCCCUUCUCUUUCAAGUCUCCAUAGCAACUCGAAGGAGCAUCAUGGGAUGUCAGGAUGAGAGAGGCCUAUUCUUUUCAUGCAACACUCUUUCCACUUCAUUAGACUCUUUAUCAAGUAUCUCUGCUCUGGGCUGAGUAUAUUUUUUUGUGUCAGGGAGCAGUGCAGAUGACUCAAAAGCACGCUGACCUUUUCAGUGGGACCCGGGAGUUCCUUGUGGGAGCUGCAUCCUCUUCCCUUGCCUUCCUCCCCCACAGCCCCUUGCCUCCAGUUCGCAUGACCUCGGUCUGCCUGGCCUUCUCAUCAAAACCCCGUGGCUGGGGAGGGAUGAAGGGCUUCUUUUAAAGGAGAAAGGGGGAAAAAAAAUAAAGAGAGCAGAGUAUGAGAAUGUCCUUCGCUGGCACUGGAGGUGUCAAGACCCAGCUGUCAGAGCCGUGCAUCUAUGGGGAAGAUUAAUGACUCUGCUCAGAGAAAAUCCAAAUAAAAUAGGACAGAAUAAAUGCCAAGUGACUGGGCGGAGGAUGAGGGGAAGAGUGAGGAAGGAGCGAGGCAGUGUGACGGGGCGGAGGUAUUCCUCAGUCUCGGAAGUGCUUUAAUUCCCCGUGGAGGAACAAGUUAGCAUAGGAACGCUCUUUAGGUUUCACCCCAUGGUCUUGAAGAGCCGUGUCUGUCUGUGUGCAUCGGGGUGUGAGCACGCUUAUAAAGCACUGGUUGUACCGAGGCACCGAGGCUGUAUGUUUUUAUCUUUACUUCCUUGGAAAAAUACCCACCGUAGAGAAGCCUUUUGUUUUAAGCUUCUCACCACGUUAGCCCGUUUCAUCCUCUAGAUAUCUUGAAUUGCUUUGCAAAUCAAUGUGCUGCUUGUUCUUGGGAAGCUUCAAUGCCUGUUUUAUGCUGGGCAGUAGCACACAGCACAGCUUGGAGGGAAUAAAGGGGCUGCAACUGUGCUGUGGUUGUGGGAUUGCACUUGAGCUGCAGGCCCUUAGACCUAACCUUCACGAGAUACCAAGGCGCUGUAACUGCCUUUAGUUUUUAAGAUGAUCCUUUGGAUUUUUACUUCUUCCAGGGAGCUGUUCCGUGACAGUUUGCAGCUUAAUUUGAACAGACUUCAUGCUCUGAGAGCCCAGCUGAGCUCCUCACCAUAACAGCACACGGUGUGAAACUCCGUAUGUUGGAAGCCGCGUGCAUUGGAUGAGGAGAGGGACUCGUUAGCGUGGAUGACUGACAAGGCCAAAGUCAUUUAACCAAGUGUUUGUAAAGAGCCUUGAACCUGGACAUGCUCAGACUGUGUGCUCCAAGCUAGAUGAUUUACAUGGGUGAUUUUAGGAGGAAAAACUGUAGAAGAAAAAGCUUUGCACGUACAGUAGGAAUCAGGGUUAUGAAUAUCCCAGUCCAACUGCUUCGAUCCUCGGAGGAGUAAUUCUGAAGUGGGAAAUCCCAUUAACUCAUAAUAGGGCUCUUAAGUAGUUCCCUAUGAUGAAUUUGUGGCACUCUGCAAGUCUCAUAAUUCCCAAUAUACAGAUGAGGAAACUGAGGUUAAGUGACUUACCCAAGGUCACGUAGGAAAUCAAUAACCACUGCAGCCCGCGCCGGCAGCACCUCUCACUGACUGUGAGUGACUCUGAAUCAGGGAAUGAUUUGUGUUGAAAGGGGCCUCAAAGAUCACCCAGUUCCAGCCCCUGCAGUGGGUUGGUGGCCACCCACGACAUCAGGCUGCCCAGGGCUGAAUCCAACCUGGCCUUGGACAGCUCCAGGAAUGGGGCACCCACACUUCUCUGGGCAAACCGAAUGGUGAUAAUCAUCCCCAGUGCUGGCAGAGGAAACUUGGUGUCUGAACCCUGUAUCAUGUCACAGCUCUAAAGAAUGUCCCAGGGUCUCGGGGGAGGCUUGGCCAUGCAGAGCUGAGUGGCUGGGACUCUCCCACCCCGAUCAGAGCAACGCUGCUUUGCUGUUUCCUGGCAGAUGGGUGUCCUCUUGUUCUCAGGAUCCUCAAAUAUGGAUGCUCUGUGGUCUCCUGCUGUCCCAGUUUAUCCCAGUGCCCUCUGCCAUCUGUCACAGCACUGUUGCUUUCCCGUGGCACGGCAGGCAGGAGCCCGAAUCCCACACUCUCCAUCUGUGUCAGGUGCUCUGGCUGUGCUCAGCAGUGUGUUUCUUGUGAUCUGAAGCUUAUGUCUGAAAAAGCAGGCAGAGCAUGUCUGUGGCAGGUGUGCAGUGUUGGGGGUGGGAUCCUCUCUCAUAUGAUGGCAGGAAAUUGCCUCGUGCAGGACCUCUCUGCUGUGGUGAGUGUGAGAGCCUCUGCCAGUACCUGUGCUCCUUCUUUCCUCCUGCUGAUUGAGCUCACCGCUCGUGUUCCAGCUCCUCUGCUCGCUGCUUUCAUCUCAGGUUUGCAGGGGAAUACACUGCUGGCAUAGGGGUGUUCCAGCACUGGGGACUGGUGUGAUCAAUGCAUGCUUCCUUACCACGUGUGGUGGGUCCUGCAGGAAGGGGCUGUGCUUCCCAGGGUCCAACGUGGGACUCCUCACAGUAACACUGACCAUCACCUACGUGCUCUUCCUAUCACUUGUUGCUCUUUCCAGAACUAGCAGCUGGUGUGACCCAGCGAUGAGAGGUGCGAGACGGGGUGCAGACACCCAGCAUCACUCAGGUCUUCUGCAGGAGUUUUUCCUCUGUCCAGCUUCUCAGUUCUUUUUUUAUAGUUUCCCUUCAGCUGAUUCAUAGCUAUUUGAAUUGCUGAUUUCACUCGUACUGUUACUGUGGCCUAGUGCUAAUGAUCUGUCUCUAUUUCCUUCCCAGGUAGUAAAGCACAGCAAUACUCUGGAGCCUGCUGUCUGAAUGAGCAUGUGCUGGGAUUAACCUGCUGCCCAACAGCUUGCUAUAUUUUCAUAGUGCUUCCCAUAGCUGCCAGUCUGACAGGCCUCUGAAAGCUGAGGGAAGUGGUUAGUGAUAAGGUGUGGGCACUGAGAACAGCUACACUUUAAGGCCUCACAAGGACAGCAUGCAUUUCUUGUAUGGCUCCAUUUUCCGAUCAGCAUCUCUACACAUAUUUGUCGCUUGCCAGACCCUCAGUCCUCUUUGACUUAACCUGCUGAGAAGGGAGGAUGCUCAGGAGCAUGCAGGCGGAGCAGGAAGCUCAGGGCUAUCUGCCAUAACCCAACCCAGAGACCACUCUGCUCCGCAGCUGGUGCUCCAGCCACCUGCACUGCCAGCACUGAGCUCCAGCUCCAUAACCCAGUGCCUGCGGGCAGUUUUCUGACCUUGUGUAGGGCGAAGAUCUCAACACUCCGUGCAUAUGUGGGGUGAAUGCUGUGGCAGAGGUGUGGCCAUGUAGACAACCCCCUGUUUUGCAACGCACGGCAGAGCACUGGUGUCUCAGGGACAGUUGUAGCGCAGGGGAUAUUUUGUACUGCAAACUGCAGCUUUAAAAAAAGCACUCAAUGUUGGUUCAAGGUUUCAUUCCUGAAGCCUUAAGGACUGAAUAUAUUCACUGUGUCCUUCUUUAUUUGCAGGUUUAAGGCACGACAGACUUGUUCCGCUGAUUAUUCUGACUGCAGUUUUAGCUCUCCCCUCCUGGCUGUCAAAGAGGAGUUGGUCCUUGUAUGCAAGAUCUUAAACCACGUGUUGGGAGCUCAUGCAUGGAGCAGAGCAGCGGUAUCAGAGGGGAUCCGAGUUGCUUGGAGCCCUGCUUGUGUGAUUCACCGGUGGCACUGAAGACCUUCCCCUGCAGGCUGGAUCCUGGACAGCGCUCCCAUCCCUGCACCUCCAACCUCAGUGCCCGGGUGGUGGAGCCAGGAGGUUCUGGAACAAGGCAGCAAAACUUGCUCGGUGUAGACAAAGCCAUGUGACAGUCCCACCUAACAGCAACCAUGCUACUGGGAACGCAGACAAAGGUGUCACUGUGAUUAAUGGGGCACUCAUCUGAGCACCGCGUCCAGGAGCACAGGUUGCACCUUGCCCUGGUGGCCCGGCUUUUGCAGGCUUUGUCUGCUGUGAGUCCUGCUCAGAAAUGGCUGGAAGGAAUUCAAGGACAGAGGCAAAAAGGUAAAGCAGCCCCGACACGGCAGAGAUGAGAAAUUUUGCACUUUAUCAUAGGCUAAUGGAAACAAUAGCAGGAAUGAAGGCUGACUGGUUGCUUUUCAGAAGCAGAGAGAAUAAAAUGAUGCAUGAAAUAGCAAGAAGCAUCUUUGCCUGAAGACCAGUACGUGUGUCAUUUGAGCUCGGUGUCUUGGUCAUCACAGUCAGUUAGGCUGCCUCCAGUUAUGAAGAGCCAGUGCAACUCCAUGUGCUGCUCUGAUGGCUGUUUCUUGGCAAAUAGAGGUGCUCAGUUGGGAAAGUAGGGUGGUGACGCACUGGAACAGGUUGCCCAA